AAAAUGAGCCUGUGCAUUUUUCAUAUGACACAGUAUUUCAUUUCUCUGCUGAAAGCUAAAGUACUUUCCUUCUGGCAUCCUCAUUUUGUAAUAUAUAUACUUUUGAAAUACUGCUGCCUUGUUACAGAAGUCUGCACUCCAUUUUCUUUCUCUUCACCCCCUCAGGAAACUAUGGGAAAAUGAGGCAAAAGCAACAUCUUCCUACCUUAUUUUCCUGAGCAGUAGAAAUGGAGUCAGGCAUGGGAGGCCCAUUAUGUCACUCCCUCAGUCCCCUCCAAACCUCCCGGGUGGCCUGUACAACCUUACAGCACGAUAAAAGGUCAACACACAGGUGCCUUCUGUUUUAUAGAAAGGGACUCUCUUGAGUCAAGUUCACAGAUGAAGACAAGCAUGGUGCUAGGGUCAGCUUUCUCUGCGUUACCUGCCUGAUUUGAUUGUCGCUGGCUUUUAGAUUACUUGGGGAGAUGAUGAGCUUCACAGGAGAUCAGCUGAGAUAUUUUGUAUCCAACAGAUUGGAUGGCACUUCCAGGUGAGGUGGAACAGGGUAUAAGCAUCAGUGCUCCUGCUUAUGUUCCUGCUGUGGGCCUGCCACUCACCUCUGAGGGGAAGCCAACGCCCGCUGUGGGAAGAACUCAGACGCAAACUGAAGAGAUACUUGGAGAUGAAGUUCAGCCAUUCUUUCUUGAUGAAGACUUUGAUUAUGACAAUGUGACUCUCACUCCGAAGUUUACUGCUGGAGAGAUAGCAACCAUCCAAGAGCUGGCCAAGCAAAAGAGAGUGGAUACCAGUACCCACGUGUGCGAACUGCAUGACUGAGUCACCAGAUGUCUCUGUGUCUAUUUUUAUUUUGUUCAUAGUCAAACAACGUUAGAAUAAAGCAUAUCCCAACUGAUUCUCUUUGUGGAAAUUU
rnacentral:lncRNA from 1 species